rnacentral:rRNA from 1 species
UACGAAGGGGGCUAGCGUUGCUCGGAAUCACUGGGCGUAAAGCGCACGUAGGCGGGUCUUUAAGUCAGGGGUGAAAUCCUGGAGCUCAACUCCAGAACUGCCUUUGAUACUGAGGAUCUUGAGUCCGGGAGAGGUGAGUGGAACUGCGAGUGUAGAGGUGAAAUUCGUAGAUAUUCGCAAGAACACCAGUGGCGAAGGCGGCUCACUGGCCCGGUACUGACGCUGAGGUGCGAGAGCGUGGGGAGCAAACAGG